UUCAGCUAACUUAAAAGCCCAAAAAAUAGCAACCCAAACUUAACAUAUUCAGUUCACUCCAAUAGGGUCCAACAACCCAAUUCCGCCAACCCAACAAAAAAGCCCAACCCAUCAGCCCCUUUAGGAUUAUUUCAGAAUACAAACACCUAACCCUACUUCUCUCAUAUUUUCUUUUUGUUGUAAAAGUGACGCCUGCCCUGUCACCAUCAUAGCAGAUAGACGUUUUGUCUUCUUUCCACUUUGAUGAAGAUAUUUUGACUUUCAACAACUUUGGCCACGUGAACGUACACUCUAUUUCGUAAAAACAAACCCCUGUACUAGCGUUAGGUGUUCUUAGCUCUCACCAUUUCGAGACAAUUUUCUGCUCUCCCUUUUUCUUUAUCUGUCAUGGCUACCAGCUUUGCUAUGCCUCCAACGUUCAAAUCUGAACAGUCUUUGACCCAUUUCAAAAUUGUAAUCUCUCAAAUUCCCGCCCAAUGAAACCCUAACUAUUUCUUACCCCUAUAAAUAGUUGCUUCAAGUUCAUUUUCGAAGAGGUUUUUUUGGGGGGAGCAGCCUCACAGCGCUUUUUUACCUUAGGUUCUGGUCGCCACUCCUGCCUUCAAAAGCUCUUGUUUUCUUCUCUUUUUUUGCCUCCUAAAAAUAUGUUUUAUGUGUUCUAUCUCUCGUUCUUCAAACUCUGUUGAGUCUUAGCUGUUGGUCGACCUUUGCGUAAAAAAUCCACUGCUUGCUGCCAUCUUUUCUAUUUCUAAAAGCUACUUGAGUUCGAGGUCGGAGUCCAUCGAAUCCAAGACCCUGCACCCUAGUUCACUGCACCACAAAAAGCAAAUGGAGUCUUAAUUCGGGACUCUUUCAAAACGGAGUCUUAAGAUGAGACUCGAUGCUGUCACUAUAUCCUUGCAUGGAAUCGACACAAUCCUUAUUCCUUAACAUCAUCCCUCAGCAAGAAAACAAGUGAAACUCGCUUGAGAUCCUCAUCCACUUUAUUAGCUUAUUUCUCUCAUUCCCUCGAAAUACAUCGAACAAAAUUUGAGAAGAGGGACGAGAGAGAUGAAAAAUAAUCCUCUCUAUUCCUUUUCAGUUGUUAUUAUGUUAUGUUUGCUUCCUUUCUGUGAUUUUUUAACUUGUAUUAUGUGAUACUUAUUUAUCCUUCAGUUAAUAGGGUAGUUAUUUUGGUCUUCUAGGAAUUUCCACUUAGUAGACAGUUUUAAACAGGUAACUAUACCAAAACGUUAGGCCUAUUAAGCUUUGAUAAUAAUUUAUUGAAUCCUUUCAGUAAAAUCUUUUGUUAUAUAGUCCCAGAAUCUUUAAUUU